rnacentral:tRNA from 1 species
GUAUAGGUUUGAGUACGCUGUCUUUCCAAGUCAGAUGUCCCGUUGAUCGGGUCUGUGCA